CCCCCCAUCAAACCUCUUAUAGUUCUGACCAGACUUUCUUACUUUCCACUUCACCACAUGCAUGCUCAUGUUGCUACCUACGCACUUUGUUUCCAUCAGUGCUUUAUAAAUGCAAGCUUAACCGAGCGAGGAAGUAGCUGGUGGUGACAUUUCCGAGCAAAUGCAAAUGCACCUGUCCAUCGUGCUAUAAAGCAGUGUGUACGCAGUGCGUGUGAUCUGCCUGUAACUUUGGGGGCUUUCUCAAAACCUUUGAAGUGGUUCCCAAAAUGUGGGGUGCAUGGGCCCUCCAAGGGGGGCCUGAAGUUAGAGCAAGGGGAGGCGGGUUGAGGGUGAGAACACUAAACAACGAACAGAGAACAGUCAUUAUUAAUACAACAGAUAUGCAGCUAACCUGAACUGAUCCAAAGAAUGAAAUUAAGCAUUGCUAAUCAUAAAACAGUACUUGAUCCAGACAAAUUGUAACCGUUUAAAAAAAAAAAGCUCUGAUCAAAUAAAAUGUAAAAAAUGUUUAGCUUAUAAAACAUUUGAUGAAAUUCAAAUGUAGGAAAUACUGUAAAAGCUGUAAAACAGGUCAUUUUUUUUCAAUUUAUGACCUUAGAUUAACUUUAUCAGUUUUACACCCUAUUGGUGUCAGUUUGACCCCUCCCCAUUGCCCCUCCCCAUUUCCUGAGUUUUCGGCAUCGGCAGUAGAGAGAACAAUAGAACUAUGGAGGUCUGAAAGAGGCAUCAUCUGUAAUCUACUGUAUAUAUAUAAAUAUGUGGAUAUGCUGGAAGACCUAUUUGUUGGUGAUUUUCUGUGGGGAGUUCUGUUCUUCUGAAAACCAUAUUACACCAAAGGAAAAGGAAGUUCCAGGACUUAAGGGAGGAAACAUUAUGUUUCCAGUGCCGGUCUCUCAAUUCGGUAGUUUGAGGACUGAAGAACAAGAGACCCUUGCAACUAUCUUUAAAGGUCAGGUUAGAAUUGAAAAGAAGCCUAGGUUUAAGAAUCGCCUGAGCUGGGACAGUCAGACUGGACACUUCUCUCUUCAUAACUUGACAGUUGCUGACUCGGGCAGUUAUGUCAUUGAGAACACUGAGGGCUUAGAGGGAAAGUAUAAUGUUAAGCUAACUGUGUAUGAGCAAUUGUCCAGUCCUAAGGUGACACUGCAUGACAACAGUUCAUGCACUUGGACAUGCUCCGUGGAGAAUGGCAGAAAUGUCUCUUUGUCCUGGUAUAAAGAAAACAUGCUCUUGAACCAGACUAGGAACCCUGACAUCAACACCAAUCUGAGUCUUCACCCUGAACGCCUUGAACGCCUUUCCAGUUUUAACUGUGUAGCUGCCAACCCAAUAAUCAAUGUGACAUUCCAGCUGUCGUCUGACCACUUACAGGAGAUAUGUCCUGCAUCUUCUUCUCCAGGUUCUCCAGGUAUGACACCAAUCAAUCAAUCAAACAAUCAAUCAUCAUUCUCCUUUUCUGAUUUGCUUAUCUUCAUUACAAACCUGGUGCAAAAUGACCAUUAUACAUACAACAGAUCAUGA
rnacentral:lncRNA from 1 species